AUGUUGUAUUACAUCAGGGUCGAUCACGGGGGCUCUUUCCACACGUAUCCUUAUGCGGGCGGGCCGUUUCAGAGCCUAGAUGAAGCUGACAAAGCCAUGGAUCGCUAUUUUCUUGAACAUAGGGACCCAAAACUGUUAAUGCACCAAGGUGGGGUUUCUUCACUGGAAAUGGCCAUAGAAGCAGCUCUUUACUGGCCUGAUGGCGCAAGGAAGCGUUCAAAGUCAGAUCACGCUGAGAGAGCCCGUAAUGGAAGGCGCCGAUUACUUCAAGCUUUGGUGGACAAGCAUAACGAGGAUCACAGUCUUUUGGGGGAUUUUGCGUAUGAACUCAAAGAUGUUGUGGAGUGCAAAGUAUUCAGUGAGAAGCGUGGGUGGUACUAUCAUCUCAAUUUCACUUUGACUAAAGGAGCUGAUCGUGGCAUCGAAGAUCUAUUCUUUGUCGAAGUCAAAUAUGUGCGACCAGUAAAACAAGAACUGUCAGUCAGCUGCUUCUGCAUGAUUAAACCUACCGAUAACGGAGAAAAGAAACAAAAUACGGACAUCAUCUGA
rnacentral:rRNA from 1 species